GUCACGGAGCCUGGUUGAGCCUAAUUCAUGCUGCGAAUUUUUGUUCUAUUUUGCAAAUACUCAGAGAAGGGCAACAAAGCUGUGUCACCCUGCCAGGCAACUCUGCACCUUAACCGUUCAACCUCACCCUGGGCCAGGAAAUUUUCCUAUGAAUAUGUGUUUCCUGAAACAAUCCCUUUUAUCUGGAAAACGAGGAAGUCAAAGAAACUGUAAUUGA